GAGUUCAAAGUGGGUUGGUGGCAGCCCAGCCUCAGGGUCUGGGCGUGGCCAGGGGAGCGUCCUCCCUCAUGGAGCUGAGCUUCAGGUCUCAUGUACCCUAUGAAUUCAUCCCCGGCAGCUCUCAGAUGCAAUUUAUGGAAACUCUCUGGGGACUGCACCAGCCUGGACUGGGAGCCCAGCAAACCUGCCUCCAAGGCCAGGUGAAUGGAAGGGUGUAGACAUGCGUGGUAUUCCCUCGCCCACUGUAGGAGCCGUGGUGCGAACCAGGGCCUGGCCCUCGUGACCGCUCUGGCCUCCUUCCUCUGUCCUGCCGGGCUGUCCGUCCAUCGAUCACUCUGUCAUGCACUUGUGCCUGGCAGUUGUUUUCUAGGGCAUGACUUAGAAAGUGGGACAGGGAUCAGGAUUGACUGGUGAAGACCAAGAGCGCUUCCCCACAGGGCUGGAAAGGUCAUUGGCAGUUUAUUUAUUCAUUCACCCAUUUAGUCAUUCAUUCAAGAUCAUGGCUCUGAUCAAGCGCUGGUGACCUGGAGGCUGGAAGAUACAGGAGGCCCGGUGUCUGCCCUGGCGGCACUCUGAGUCUUCACAAGCCCUGCAUGGGCUGUGCCUUUCGAGGACCAUGAAGCGCAAGCAUCGUCUUCCUUAACCCUCCCCACGACCCUGAGAAGAAGCUCUGGUUCUCGUCCCCCAUCACCCAGACAGGGCUUCGAGGCUGAAAGAGGUUAGGUAACUUCCCCUAACAGUGUUAGAAAACGCUUCUGCCCUGGGAUCCUGGCUCCCCUGGGGUGGCCCGCCCGAGUGGAGCAGCUCAGGAAGAAUAAAAGACACUGCACGUGCCUGUCGUUGCGAGGCCCAGGUGUAGCCGUUGGAGGAAACUCACAGCAGCCAGGAAAGGCGAGGAGGGAAGUGAACACGUCACCCAGGAGGCCGGAGACCGCCACUGCUGACAAGCGCACGCCUUUCCCCGUGUGCCUUUUCUGGAUGCAGCAAGGGAAAGCGGAAGUCAUUCACUCAUUCAUUUAUUCACUCUUUCAUUCAUUCGUUCUGCUGGGCACCAGGCACUGUUCUAGACUCAGGGAAUGUGUAGUAUCAAGUCUCUUCUCUGGGACAAAUUUGAAUUCAACUCAGCCUCCCGGUGGCCAGGUGACUCUGGGAGGUGACUUCGUGUCUCUGGACCUGUGGUAAAGUCUGUAAAGUCAGAAUCAGGAGGCCCAGCUCACCGCAUUGCCAGCAGCCUGGGAGGUGAUGCCUGGCCCGUGCCUUGUGGAUGUGCACCCAGGGUCACAAUGGCGAUCAGCCAGUGGACUCUUCAGGCCGGGCCUCGGUCUUGGUGCCAGCAGGCAGCCUGCCUCUGUGCCUUUGGCUCCCGGAGUCUCUGUUAGAUUUCAAAUCCUGGGCUGCCCCUUGGACAAUGUCUACCCUUGUCCCUCGUUUUAUGUCUUUGGGUCACAAGAGCCAGUCCACACCUGUUCACUUUCCACGGCAGGACCCCAUGAAGUCAGAGAUUUGAAUCCUGGCCUUGGAUCCUAGAGAUGGUGACCCUGGCUUUCUCAUCACCCUCUCUGAGUCUUCCUCUCCUCAGACCUAAAAUAAGGAGAAUGAUAAUGACCUCGCGGGCCACUGUAAAGAGUGAGUGAAAUAAAGACUGCAAAACAGUUAAAUUAGCACGUGGGAGACACCCGAGAAAGGCUGGAGAUUUUAUUAUCUUGAUUCCACUUGGGAGCAAAACGAAAGCUAUCAAAGUUCUGCCUGGGAGGCCUCUUGCAAGUGUUAGGCUGGGGAGCGUGCGAUUAGUGGGUCUCUCGGCCUUACGUUAUCAUCACCGCCAGUCAGAGCAGCGAUGGCUGUGUCUGGGCUGUGAUUAGUACCAUUUUCAAGGUCACUGGUCUCGUCUGCAUCCUGAAGAUACUCUUCCUGUGACCGGCGUCCCAGCCUCUCCCUCUCGCCCUGGCUACCAUAGGCCACACCAGAGGCCGGCACCGAAGUCCCCUCCCAGGGCCCCUCCCCAAAGUUUGAGGAGUCUGUGGUCCCUCCCAAGGGCCCUCAGAACUACCCCCUCCUGAUAAGCGGUCACUUCGCGUCGCCCAGGACAGACCUGGGGAGGGGUGGGGUCGGGCACAGCCUCUGCCGGGCCCACAGGCCUCUGCCUAUGGAGAUAUGGUCGGGGCUCCCUGACAUCAAGUUCAAGGCAGUGAAUAAGAUCAAACCGCAGAGGACAAACAUUAUUCCCAGAUUAAUUCCUUAAAUCCUCCCAUUUCCAUCGAGGAGCAGGUCUCAGUUUGGUGUCAGCAUUACCACUUCUCUGACACUUAACGUUUCUUUCCUUGUAACAAGGAAAAAGCAGCCUCUGUGCUCAGAACCUCCCCGGGCAGCUGUGUCCAGCUAGAAUUUAAUACCUCGUUUGCUUUUGAUUGUGUUUAUUUUCUACCAGUGAUUUCAGUUUAUGGCCUGCAAAAUGGCUUCUCAACUAAGAACGCUGAUGCAACAUUGUCCUUUAAUUUUUAUGUUUCAGUUUAUAUAAGGGAGUCCAUUAGAUAUUUUUUUAAUGUGAAGUAAUAAAUUUUACAAAAUGUGCUUGGCUCACAGUGAAAACCAUAAAUGUAAGAUGCCAAAGACUACCUUUUGGGAAGAAUUAUUCAGAGACAAACAGGAAUCCAGGCGGGGAGUUUUGAGGACACCAGGCAACUAGGAUGCGAAGGAGCUGGGACCACUGGGGAGUCACAUGUCGUAGGCAUCUACUUUCUCUUUCGCUCUUUGCCACCAGCUUGCAAGAUGCAUUUUCCCUGUUGCGCUUGUGAAAACUAGGUUUCAGAGAGAUUAAGUGACUUUCCCAAAGUCACACAGCUAUUUGGGGUAGAGACAGGCCUGGGUCGGUGCCCUUUCCACCUGGCCUGACGCCUCCCUCAUCAAGCUCCCUCUCCCCUCCCCUGCACAUUUGGGGAGCUGAAUCUGCAAGCUCUGAGCUGUUCUUGCGGAGCAAGUCUCUGUCCUCAGUCCUUGACUGAGCCCUGAUUGCUGUAUCUCAACGUGAAGGGGAGGAUUCCUCCUGGUGCUGACCAGUCAUGAAGCGCUGAUCCACCUCCUAGAACUGCAUGGGACUCGGG